GCGACUUUAACUCAGUAGGUUAGAGUAGCAGAGUCAUAAUCAGGAAGCCAUAGGUUCAAACCCUAUAAGGGGCACUA
rnacentral:tRNA from 1 species